CUGUGACCUGAGGAAGUGAGGUACAAAAGUGAAGGGUCUAAUAACUGGACAAUACGGUCAUAAUAUGUCUUGGCUGCUGAUCAGUACCAGUUAAUCGAGUGCCUCGGGUUCUUGCUUUUGAUUUUACUACUUUGAAAAUGGGUGCCAGGAUUUUGUCAGGGGAAUGUAUUAAGUCAUUGCCUACUAGAGACACAAACGGAGGACGAUUUGUCUGUGUUUCCACUCGGCUGUGCUGGCCCCCACUGCCAUCGCUGACAGGCAGCAGUGUGUGACCGGCCUUCACACCCCGCCAUGAUUACUUUCUCCUGCCUCCCUCCUUCCUGUUCCCCCCCUUACCUUCAAUGCACUACGAAUAUGUACCACCCCACCACCACCGCCCCAGUGGAAGCGGCUGACAUAUUUGGCUGUCAAUUUGCUAAUUCAAAAAACAAGCAAACAAAUGAGAAGCUCACCGGUGCAACG